rnacentral:rRNA from 1 species
AUUGAACGCUGGCGGCAGGCCUAACACAUGCAAGUCGAGCGGAUGAGAGGAGCUUGCUCUUUGAUUUAGCGGCGGACGGGUGAGUAAUGCCUAGGAAUCUGCCUGGUAGUGGGGGACAACGUUUCGAAAGGAACGCUAAUACCGCAUACGUCCUACGGGAGAAAGUGGGGGAUCUCCGGACCUCACGCUCUCAGAUGAGCCUAGUCUGGAUUAGCUGGUUGGUGAGGUAAUGGCUCACCAAGGCGACGAUCCGUAACUGGUCUGAGAGGAUGAUCAGUCACACUGGAACUGAGACACGGUCCAGACUCCUACGGGAGGCAGCAGUGGGGAAUAUUGGACAAUGGGCGCAAGCCUGAUCUAGCCAUGCCGCGUGUGUGAAGAAGGUCUUCGGAUUGUAAAGCACUUUAAGUUGGGAGGAAGGUCAGUAGCUUAAUACGUUGCUGAUUUGACGUUACCGACAGAAUAAGCACCGGCUAACUCUAUGCCAGCAGCCGCCGUAAUAC